UGGGGAAUAUUGCACAAUGGGCGCAAGCCUGAUGCAGCCAUGCCGCGUGUGUGAAGAAGGCCUUCGGGUUGUAAAGCACUUUCAGCGGGGAGGAAGGCGAUAAGGUUAAUAACCUUGUCGAUUGACGUUACCCGCAGAAGAAGCACCGGCUAACUCCGUGCCAGCAGCCGCGGUAAUACGGAGGGUGCAAGCGUUAAUCGGAAUUACUGGGCGUAAAGCGCACGCAGGCGGUCUGUCAAGUCGGAUGUGAAAUCCCCGGGCUCAACCUGGGAACUGCAUUCGAAACUGGCAGGCUAGAGUCUUGUAGAGGGGGGUAGAAUGCCAGGUGUAGCGGUGAAAUGCGUAGAGAUCUGGAGGAAUACCGGUGGCGAAGGCGGCCCCCUGGACAAAGACUGACGCUCAGGUGCGAAAGCGUGGGGAGCAAACAGG
rnacentral:rRNA from 1 species